GAUGAACGCUGGCGGCGUGCCUAAUACAUGCAAGUCGAGCGAACAGACGAGAGUGCUUGCACUCUCUGACGUUAGCGGCGGACGGGUGAGUAACACGUGGGUAACCUACCUAUAAGACUGGGAUAACUUCGGGAAACCGGAGCUAAUACCGGAUAAUAUUUAGCUUCGCAUGAAGCAAUAGUGAAAGACGGUUCUGCUGUCACUUAUAGAUGGACCCGCGGUGUAUUAGCUAGUUGGUGAGGUAACGGCUCACCAAGGCAGCGAUACAUAGCCGACCUGAGAGGGUGAUCGGCCACACUGGGACUGAGACACGGCCCAGACUCCUACGGGAGGCAGCAGUAGGGAAUCUUCCGCAAUGGACGAAAGUCUGACGGAGCAAUGCCGCGUGAGUGAAGAAGGUUUUCGGAUCGUAAAACUCUGUUGUAAGGGAAGAACAAGUACGUUAGUAACUGAACGUACCUUGACGGUACCUGACCAGAAAGCCACGGCUAACUACGUG
rnacentral:rRNA from 1 species